rnacentral:rRNA from 1 species
GGAGUCUUCGGCAAUGGACGAGAGUCUGACCGAGCAACGCCGCGUGAGUGAAGAAGGUUUUCGGAUCGUAAAACUCUGUUGGUAGAGAAGAACGUUGGUGAGAGUGGAAAGCUCAUCAAGUGACGGUAACUACCCAGAAAGGGACGGCUAACUACGUGCCAG